AAGGCCAUGGUUCUAAAAGAUGGGAGCUUCUUCCACUUCUUCUCUAAGAACUAAAAAUCUUAACACCCACAUCUCUUGGCAUUUCAAGCGUUAUGAGCUUAACAUGCUGCAGUGAAGUCCCUGAAAAUGCGGUUGCAGAAUUCCCUUCAAAAUGUAAUCACUCCACCAGAUGCUGAGUCCCUGUGCAGGGCUGCUGGCCAAAACUACAGUGUGGAGGAGGGAUCACUUUGUGGACUGCAAAUAGCAACAGUUGCUACUCUAUUUCUUGUGGUCAGCUCCAUUUUACUUGGAUGCACCUUGUGCUGACAUUCUUGCUGUACGAAAGCCGACAGACAUGCAAAGCCAACGCAAAAUAUGCUGUGCACCAGUACAGCACCACGUGGCAGAAACGCGUGCAGCUUUGGGUAGCAACAUGGGCAUCAACACACAACAAAGAGGUAACCUAAGCAGUCCUACAUGGCUUUGGGCUCCCUUUGCUAGUCUUGGCCCAACAGCAGUAAAUCUACAGCACACAGGAUUAAACCAGCUCUAAAGUGAAUAAAUCCCACAAGGCAGCUCUCCUGCCCCAAAGCCAAACCAGUUCUCUUUCAGUGGAUUCCAGGCUGCUACGAUUUACAACUUGUCUUGUUUUUCAUUCAAUUAUUAGCAAUCAAAGCUCUGGAAGGUAAGGAAGUCCUCUCUUGUACCAGGAAGCUCCUACGCAAAAAACAGUACAAAAAACACCGUCUCCAACUCAGUUUGAUGUAAUGUCCUUUGGGAUAGAACAACAUUACUUUCCUUUAAUCAUUUUGGGUUAAGAGCUCAAGGUAAAGUAAUUUAACCAUUAAAAGCAGAAAAAGCAGCAAUAAAUAGAAUCUGUGCCUUUGUAUUGCUAACAUAAUUUUAAGCAGAACGCACCUCUCCUGGCCAUAAGUUUACAUUCUUGUUUAAUCUCCCCAGCAUAUCAUUUUAACCCAAACUCUUGGUGUUAUGUUUGAGGGAGGAAUGACGGCUAGGGAAGGAGAGGAGUGACCGCCUCUACAGCAGCAUAGCAAGUGUUCAGUCUUUUCUUUUUCAUUUUUACUUCGUUGUCUAUAAACAAGACAGCCACUCCUCCUGGCCAAGGCAAAGCUGCAUUUGCUCUCUCCAAGGAAACGAGAGAGAAAUCGCAUCCUAAGCUUCUACUGCGUCAGGAACAGGAAACAUUACAAGCAACAGCAUAAAUUUCAGCAUUAAUCAAAAAUAAGUUUGAUGUGAAAAUACACACAUCGUACCGAUUGUUUAAAAAAAAUGAAGAUAUCCACGUUAUUUCCAAAAGGAAAGCGAGGAAGCCAAGCAUUUAGUCAAAGCAACAACUAGCUUUUCCCUCAGCUGGCUGUGCAUAAAAAAAGCACGUUGACCACCCAUGAAAGACAAGAUCUCCAGUGAUACAACAUGCUUAGUGUCAGGACACGCACUACAAGCUUGCCCUCACAGCUCCAUUCUGCUGGCUUCAGGUUUAAAUUUGAUCCAUCACAUUCACAAAGCCCAGUUUAGGCUCCAUGGUUUAUGCUAGCAGUUCCCCUUCAAUUUUUACUUUUAUUUAUUUUCUUUAGCUUCUCUGAGCUCCUUCACAUUAAGUCCUGUGUGCAGCUCACUAUUCUCAAAGCUACUUUCUAGGAUGCACAUUUUUGCAAAGCAUAUCCUGAGAAGCAUAUUAGGAAAGGGUGAUCAACGUGCAAGGAGGCAGCUCUGUCAGAGGUUGGGAAUGCAGCUGCCUGGCCAAAACCUUCCACAGCAACAGGAACAGGGUAGAGGAAACCUCCUGGCUGCCAGGAACUCUGCAUGCUGUCCCUUGCUGCUCUGAUCCAGCCACAGCCUUCUCACUCAACUUCAAGUGCAAGCUUGAACUGUUUUUAUCCCCAUUCUGGUUUCUUACAAACAGUCUACAUCCUCCAUCUUCAGAAUCACUGGUUUAACAGAAUACUGUCUGUCUGCAAAGGAAUCCGGGAGAGCAAAACAACUGAGAAAACAUAAGAUCACAGCCUCAACUGAUUUCAAGCGGACCAAAUCCCUCUUCUCUUAUAACACUGAGCAUCAAGUGGGUAGCUGCUAACAUCAGUCACAUUUGACGUGGUCUGAACUUGAACCAAGUGGCUGGAUACAUAACAAGGUGAGAUACAAUGCCUGAAAGAAGAUGGUGAGGCUGCUAAUGAACCAAGAAUUCAAAUUAAAGCAGCUGACCUAGACUGAAGGUGUCUAUUGCACCAAGCAUCAUCUUUGGAGGGACUUCUUAAGGAAGCUCAUGGAUACAUCUGAAGAAAAUUAGAAGACUUCCUGUAGUACAGGCUACUUCUUCAUUUUCCGAUGCAGCUGAUCUGUAUGGAUAACUACAAAAAAAAAGAACUUUUUCAAAACAGAACAGAUGGCUGGCAGUGCAGAUUUAGAUUACAAGAUGCAACCCACAUAUUUUAACCAAUUAGUCCUUGUAAAGGAAAAGUGUAUAGUAGGAGCGGUACUGACUAAUAAAAGAUAAGAAGAAAGCUGAAGCACAAUCAAAGGGAUUAUAAUUUUAGAUGUGCAGUAUCAACAACAACAAGCGUAUCUCCACAAAGCGUUUGAUCCUACAUGCCCUCACUAACAGGUAACUUCGUUUCUUGGCAGAGGCACUUCCACAGCCCAACCUCUAGCUCACUCCUUGUUCCUUAGGUAACAUUUUCAUACCACCCACCAUCUGCUGGAUCAGCCGGCACAGAAAUAACAUACACCUUCAGCCUUUCAAACCUAUGGGAUCGAAUUCACUUCUCGUUUUUAAUUUUAGCAAAUCUGUUUGCAAGCUUUGACAGAGAGCUUCAGUAUCAAGACAGUACCCUUAUAUUUUCUAACAUGUAUUAUUUUGCAUUCCAACUAUCAUUUCAGGAUUUUAUUUUUUUUUUUUGCCUUACAAUGCAGUUUAGAUUUGUUGAAGUUUAUUUCCACAAAGCACACAUCAAAUACACACUUCAUUUUACAAUUGUAACCAGAGUGCAAAGCAUAACAGAGAGCUAAUAAAAAUUUCUAGCCUUCUGUGAUACUUUCAAUUAAUUGGAAGCAGCAUUCAGUGUCCUCACUCCUUCCUAAACAUACACCCAAACACAGCCCCACUUCAGGCCUUCAUUUCUGGACUUACACUUCCAUUCCCCUCUAAAGCAGAGUAAAGAGACAGUGGGAAACCUACAGAGGAGAAAGGGGGGUGGGAAGGCAAGCUCAGCCAAGAUCAGCCCCCAUUUCUAUUCCCAUCUACUCAGCUGCAUCAAUAUUUUUGUGGGCACAAAGAAUAAAGAAAACUCCUUCCUAACUGCUUAAAUCUCAUGUCAGUUUACAAGGUUACUGAAUUCGUGGUUCAAAUAAAAUCUGCUUUCAUCCCAGGCAGCACUGCUCCUCAGCAUGCCAUAAAUCUUGCAGGUUCAAAAUUAUCUGCAGCCCUUUGUCUGGGGGUACAAGCAAUGCCCUUCACUCUUCGAAUGGAGACACAGGAUGCAAAGCACACAAGAGGUAAGAACUGAAAGUAUUCUCUUAUUCCUCACUGCAUUUAGCUCAAGUCACUUGAUUCAACAGCUCCACCUCCCCAGCGAUCAGAGUCAUGUUUCGGGGCACGCUGCCAUCAAACACGCCACAUCUUGGUCGCUCUGGAGGGUUUUCCAGCAAGGAACAGGCUAACUGCAGUUUGCCCUUCAGAUGAACACUGGCAGACAGAAUUAACUUGGGCUAAAUCCUGGGAUUAGCUGACACACAGUCUGUGCAGGGGAGGGAAGGAGGCUGAUAGGUUAAUAUUAAAAAAAAA